rnacentral:tRNA from 1 species
GAAUCCACAGCCCAGUGGUUAGGGCACUCACUUGGGAGGUGGGAGACCUGGAUUCA